CAUUUUCAAACCUAAAAUCAGCAAGCUUUUAUUUUGGCGGGUUGCUGGCAAGUAAGUAUAUGCUCUGGUAUAUUUUAUCUAUAAUUUUU